rnacentral:lncRNA from 1 species
CGGAGGUAGCGGCUCAAAUCAUCUUCUGGAGGCCUUUGAGUCGCGAGCCCCAAAGCAGCCGCUCCCCUGCCGCACCACCCUGGCCAGGGGCUCGUCGACCCCUUUUGCAGAUACAGAAACUGAGGCUUGGAUAUUCUUUUAAUGGCAUCAUAGCUAAUGCUGGGCUGUGCCAAGAUUAGAACUUGGAGGGAAGCUCUGACUGGGGUUGGAAGCCCAGCUGGACAGAUUUAUCCAAAUGAUCGCCUGCGGGGAAUUGACCCGGGCCACUUGCACCUCUUUUCCCUUCCACUCCCCUGGGUCUUGAGUCAGGAGGAUUCUCCCGGCAUUGCAAGGACAGAGGGUCCCGACCUGGGAAUCAUCGCCAGGCACAGGCCUUCUGGGAUGGGGGCAGUUUGGGAGAGGAGCUGACUGGAACGGAAUGUGGGGUGUAGGGUUAGGGGAAGCACAGAAGGUGAGGUUGGAAAGAUUGAAGGUGGUGAGGGGACCAAGACCUGCUUAGGGGCCUGAAACUUACUCUUUAGGUGGCGGAAGCCUCCGGCGGGUUUUAAGCAGGAAGUGAUAACUGAUUUAUGAAAAAAAAAAUCACUCUGGCAUCCUUGUGGUAGGAAAUGAAACCAGAAGCAGGGCAAUUUUCAUUUUUAUGGUGACAGUUUGAGUCUCACCGCAAGUCAGCGGGCAGGAC